rnacentral:lncRNA from 1 species
CAACAACAGAAUAUAGAACACACCACCCAACAACAGAAUAUACAACACGCCACUCAACAACAGAAUAUAAAACACGCCAUCGAACAAGAGAAUAUACAACAAUCCACCCAACAACAGAAUAUACAACACGCCACCCAACAACAGAAGACAGAACAAUCCACCCAACAACAGAAUAUAGAACACGCCAUCAACAAAAUAUAGAACACGCCACCCAACAACAGAAUAUACAACACGCUACCUAACAACAGAAUAUAAAACACACCACCCAACAACAGAAUAUAGAACAAUCCACCCAACAACAGAAUAUACAACAUUCCACCCAACAACAGAAUAUAGAACACUCCACCCAACAACAGAAGAUAGAACAAUCCACCCAACAACAGAAUAUACAAUCCACCCAAAAACAGAAUAUAGAACACGCCACCCAACAACAGAAGAUAGAACACGCCACCCAACAACAGAAGACAGAACACGCCACCCAACAACAGAAUAUAGAACACACCACCCAACAACAGAAUAUACAACAAUCCACCCAACAACGGAAUAUAGAACAAUCCACCCAACAGAAUAUAGAACAUGCCACCCAACAACAGAAUAUAGAACAUGCCACCCAACAACAGAAUAUAGAACACACCACCAAACAACAGAAUAUAGAACUCUCU